rnacentral:lncRNA from 1 species
AAUUUUCUUUGGGGUUUUUUUUCUGAGGUUUUUGUUUGUUGUUGUUGUUAUUUUUGUUUUUUCUUGUUUUGUUUUGGUGGGUGGGUUUUUGUUUGUUUGUUUUGUUUCGUUUUUGUUUUUGUUUUUAUUUUUGAGACUGGGUUUCACUGUGUAGCCCUGGCUAGCCUGGAAUUCACUAUGUAGACCAAGCUGUCCUCCAACUCACAGAGAUCCACCUUCCAUUGCCUCCUUGGUGCUGGGAUUAAGAGCAUUUGACAUAACACCUGGCAAAGCGAGGCAAUUUUGGAUCAAGUUUAAAGGUGGAAGUUCAACUCCUCCAGGAGACUCCCUGAGCCCUGCCAUGUCUGAGUCACAGCUACGUCCAGCUGGCUCACAUCCUGGGUGGACAUUUAUGCUAUGCCAUUUUUCCUGUCCC